UUGAAAUUGAAAAUACUAUUUUACCCCUCAGCAACACGCUUUCUCUCAAAAUCAAACAAUUAAUCCGUCUAGAGCCUUUGUCCUAGCGGCAAGGAGCUUAGACAUUAUUGUAAGAGAUGCCGAGUUCGAGCUCUCAUGAUAUCAUUUGUAAUUUCUUCCAUUCUUCCAUUAUAUAGGAGUUUAUUUUUAUAUUUUUUAAAAAAAUCAAACAAUUAAUCCCCAUUUCAUUUCCCCCAAAUUUGAAACGCCUGUGCGCGAACCCUACAUUCAUCGUUGCUUUCUGCCCCAACAAUUUUGUCUCGGAGUUCAGUAGGGAAAAUUCUUGUGUUCAGUGAGUAGUUGAUGUCGUCGAACGGAAUUAUUGGAACCAUUUCUUUGUUGAUAAAGCUCAAGCUAUUGAUUGCAGUAUUUCAUCCGGCGAGGUCACCUUCGGCGUACGAGUCACCGACUACGUUGAUAAUUGUUUGAGUUGGCUAAAUCCCGAGGUAUUCAUCAUUACAGAUCCUUCUUUUAUGUGCAAAUCUAAGCAAUCAUUGAUUAGCAAUUUUAUAAACCCCCCCCAAAUGGCUAAUGAGUUUAAGUUAAAGGCUGAUAUUUUACGAUGGAUGCUUACAUCCAGGGCUGGGAAUCGGUUCGGUUCGGUUCGGUUAACCGACUCCCCAAUUUUCCGAAAACAAAGAACCGGAACCGGAACCUAGAAGGAAUCGGUUCGGUUCGGUUCGGUUAGGAACCGAUUUUACACGGUUCGGUUCGGUUCUAACCGAUAGGAACCGAAUUGGAAAAAAAAAAUUAACAAGUUGUUGCAGGGAUUCGAUCCCUAGUCAAUGUGUGAGAAAAAUGGCCAGCCUACCACUUGCGCUACAAUGCUCUUUGUUUUUCUUAUGUUUGUAGAAAUAAUUAUGAUUAUAUUUCGCAUUAUAAAUUAAAAAUAAUGUUUUGAAUAGGGAAAUAAUAAAAGAAUUUUUGAGGGAAAAUGAAUAAUAGAAAUUGGGGAAUUUUAAUUUCGGUUCCCUCGGUUCUUUCGGGUAUAAUCGAUCGGUUAUCGGUUAACCGAUAACCGAUCAUAGCUACAAACGGGAACCGAAACCGAACCGAUAACCGAAUUUAUCGGUUAUCGGUUAACCGACUAACCGAAUUUUUCGGUUCGGUUAUCGGUUAACCGACUAACCGAUGACCGAAUUCCCAGCCCUACUUACAUCAUUUAAUCUUGGUGCGUAACACUUUAUGUCUCGUUUCUGCAUCAUGAUUUCCACUGUUUUUUUGGGUGGUCUUCACCACAGAAACCGUUGUGUUGAUUUGGAUGAGUUAGGAACUGUUAUGUGCUAUGUAUGUUGUGAUACCAUGCAACAGUAAAUUUUUUGAUGAGUAAAGAAAAGAGUUUGUUGAAGAUGUCACUAAGCUCCAGGAAUGACGCUGCAAUGUGCAUGAUGCUGGAAGAUAUUAUGUGGGUUUAUCGGGUUCAGAUGAAUGUCCUCAUAUAUCGAUAUAUGAACGCUCGUACUAGACAGAAAAUGAGGAGGAUUUUCGAGCAUGCAUGCAAGUUUAGCGUUCUACCCCAAAUCCCAGUACAGUUGCAGCGCUUGGACCGUCUUGUUCACUUCUCAAAUGCUGACUGCAUCUCAAACCUGCGUAUGGAUCGCAACACGUUUAGUCAAUUAUGUACUAUUCUACGUGCACGUAGAGGUCUUACAAUUGGCAAAUGUGUUGGGAUUGAAGAACAAUUUGCUAUCUUCGUGUCCGUUCCACCACAAGAAAAAUCAGGUCUUGCGGACUGCAUUUUGGCGUGUAGGGGGUACAGUUUCCAAUUAUGUGCAUCGAGUUUUAUGUGCUGUGUUGAGUUUGCACUCGGUAUUGUUAUCAAAGCCCACGUCAGUUCAAGAUGAUUGCACAGAUAACCGAUGGAAAUGAUUUAAGAGGUGUUUAGGUGCGCUUGACGGUACGUACAUCAAUGUAUUAGUCCCCAAUGCUACAAGCCUAGAUACAAAACGCGUAGAAGACAAAUUUCAACAAAUACACUAGUAGUGUGUGACCGAAACAUGCAUUUCGUCUACCUCCUCCCUAGGUGGGAAGGAUCUGCUAGUGAUUCUCAUGUAUUGCGAAAUGCAGUGGCGCGUCGAAAUGGAUUCAAAGUGCCCCAAGGUUGUUACUAUUUGUGUGAUUACGCAUACACAAAUAGCAACGAGUUUUUAGUGCCAUACAAAUGGGUUCGAUAUCAUCUAAAAGAGUUUGGUCCCGGUACAGAGCAACUACAUAAUCCCAAGGAAUUAUUUAAUAUGUGUCAUACGAAGGCGAGGAAUGUCAUAGAGAGGGCAUUUGCGGUAUUGAAAAUGAGAUGGGGAAUCCUUUGAAGCGCCUCCUAUUAUCCAAUUCAUACUCAAAUUUGGUUGAUAAUGGCAUGCUUUGUUCUCCACAACUUAAUUCGGCGCGAGAUGGUGAUUGAUCCCUUUGAACUAGAACUAGAUGAGGAUACCACCACCCAAGUACAAGAUGAGGACAACAAUGUGCAUGACUAUGUACAAACUGUAGUGCCCACAACCGAGUGGACACAGUUACGCGAGGAGAUUGCAAUGGAAAUGUGGAAUAACUUCUAGCUGAAUUAAUUGUUGUGCUGUUAACUGUUGUGCUAUUGUUAUGCGGUCAUUUUACUAAACUAUGUAGAACUUGCUUCGUUUACUUUUGCACUUUAAUGAUGCUUUGUUUACAUGUGGCA